rnacentral:rRNA from 1 species
GAUGAACGCUGGCGGCGUGCCUAAUACAUGCAAGUCGAGCGAACGGACGAGAAGCUUGCUUCUCUGAUGUUAGCGGCGGACGGGUGAGUAACACGUGGAUAACCUACCUAUAAGACUGGGAUAACUUCGGGAAACCGGAGCUAAUACCGGAUAAUAUUUUGAACCGCAUGGUUCAAAAGUGAAAGACGGUCUUGCUGUCACUUAUAGAUGGAUCCGCGCUGCAUUAGCUAGUUGGUAAGGUAACGGCUUACCAAGGCAACGAUGCAUAGCCGACCUGAGAGGGUGAUCGGCCACACUGGAACUGAGACACGGUCCAGACUCCUACGGGAGGCAGCAGUAGGGAAACUUCCGCAAAGGGCGAAAGCCUGACGGAGCAACGCCGCGUGAGUGAUGAAGGUCUUCGGAUCGUAAAACUCUGUUAUUAGGGAAGAACAUAUGUGUAAGUAACUGUGCACAUCUUGACGGUACCUAAUCAGAAAGCCACGGCUAACUACGUG